rnacentral:lncRNA from 1 species
GCGAUUAAUUAGAGUAGUCUCAAUAUCAGAGAUGUGCCAGAGUUAACUUUUGUGAUAUUUUAUUUGGACUGAACAGAUUACAGAAGAACUGAGCUUUGUCCAUAAGUUGGAUGUUGUGUCUCUCUACUACAAACUUACUCAUAACAUAGAAGCACUGAAGACUUUGCAAAUCAAAGACAGGAUUGAGUUGCAGGCUGUCUUGAACCAUAAAUUGAUCAAGAGCUUUAGUAUGAAGGUGCAUUAUGGUGCUCACCUAACAGUUCUCGAAGGACAAAUCCAGGACUUUGAGACAAGUACCAACAUAACUGGGAGUUUCCAUCAUACUUGGCCAUGGCUGCUACAAGCCAGGGUCCCAUCUUCUCUACAGAUAGAUGUGGUUUUUCAAGGGAGAAACGCUACUCAAGAGAGAUAUAUGCACAUUGCAGCUGGAGAAACAUCAAUCACAUACAUAAUAAACUCCUAUUAUGUUGCUCAGCAAGUGGAUAUCUUUUGCCAAAGUGUACAUAAUAGUGAGGCACUGCAGGCAGCUGGCUACCCUAAGGCAAUCAGCUUGAUUCUCAGUUUACAGAAAUCGGAAAGCAAAGCCAAGAGUAUCUGUGAAGUCCAGUAUGAUGACAAAGAUUUAACUGUGGCUGUGGAUGUUGACACAGACUUCCAGCUCUAUGGUGUAUUUGAAUUCAUGGCAGAGGUGAAGCAUUCGAUAUCACUUCUACAUCAUCUGGGACUUCCCUUCUUUUUUAAGAUGACAAUUCAAGAGGUUCUGACUGAAAACGAAAUUGAAGGAGUUCUGAGGCUGAUCUAUGAACAAAACACCAACUUCUCCUUCAGCAUCAGUAGGAAAAAAGACCAGCAAGGUGAAGAGCUGAAUAUAAAAGCGCUCCAGACUCAUCCCUUCUUUCUACGGUACUUCCCCAGUGCAGCAGAACUGUCUUCUAAGGUAAAUUAUGACAUGAGUGAAGCAAAAGGCAAUCUCUACCUCAGGAUGGAAAAAGGGGAUUUCAAUGUUACAACUAAGCUAAUGUUCACUGGAACCAGCUACAAUAAUGUCAUUGAAAUAGUCCAGACAAUGUCCCAGUUAAAAAUCCUUCCAAGGCAGUUUACUUUUAUGAUAAUUUACCAAAAAGGCAACAGAACACGUCUGCUGAGGCACAUUGCUGUGUGGGAUGGCAAAGAGAUCAAGGUAACAGGCACUUACACUGGACUCUUCCCAAAGUUGCCCGGAGGUCACGAUGUUCAGGUGGAAAUUUUCCAUCCUCUCUCCAUCCCUUUCCCGUGGCAUGCCAAGGUCGACUUAUAUGUGAAGCAUUCAGCACGCAGUCACCGGGAUGAUCUUACUGUCAUUUGGAAUGAGAAGGACCAGAUAUCAGUGUCAUCUUCUCUGAAGUUUGGAAGAGACCGUACAAACUACAGAGCUGCCAUUGCCCACCCAUUUAAUUACACUCUGAAGCAACUGGAGGUCCAUUCCCUGUCAAAAAGAAGAGGCAGAAAGUACAACCAGCAGCUGCAGCUCCAAGGAAAUGGUGGGCAGCCUGCUGACAUCCGACUGGCCCUGGAGGAUAAAUCAAAGGUGAACCACACCACCUGGCGUGGCUGUUUGACACUCUCUUCAGGGCAGCUUCAGAGAGUAUUCAGUAUGGAACACCUGCAUGCAUGUGGGUCUGUAGAGCAAAGAUCAGCAUUGUUUAAUGAGUAUCUAGAUCUGAACUGGGAUGACAAAAAAUUCAAACACAAUUUAACAUAUGAGAGAAAUCACUUCUGGUAUCCUGAUAAAUUUCAGUUAGAAGCUGUUCUGGAAAAUAUUUUCCUGACCUCAUGCACCAAACAGAAGAUUCUGGGUAAAAUGGAAACAAACUACUCCUCUUGCCUGGACUAUUAUAUGAGCUUUGAGCUCUGUGACCUUCCAGAUGUAAUUGUUUUCUCUGGAAGGCACCAGCUCAACAAAGAUGACAUCAUUUUGCAAUCAGAGGGCAGAUUCCGCUUUGGUGAUCGUGAACAAGAUGAGGGGUUGAUUGGAGUAUCCUUAAAAAAUCAGAGUUCAGCUGAUAUGAAGAACUAUUCCUUGGAAAUUGAAUUAAGAGCCUUUGAAGAUAUUUGGCUAGGCCUGACAGGAACUGCUACUUCCUCAUCCGUUCAGAGCCAAAUCCUGGUGGAGGGAAUUAUUGAUCAGAAAGAGAAAGUAAAAGUGGCUGCUUCUAAAGGAAAGGAGUGUUUUCAGUGCUACAUGGGGUAUUUGAAAGGCAAUUUGGAAGAAGGAAUGGAAGUCAGUGCUUGUACUGAUGGGCAACAGAUGGCUACCGUUAAUACCUAUCUCAACAUCAAUGGUGAAAGGCAAGAAAACAUGGGACAAAUGGCUCUGGCAGCUGUUAAUGGAAGCUUGAGUUUUCUGGCUCAUGGAUGUGGGGAUCCGGUUCUUAAGGCUGAGUAUAAACUAAAUGAAAUUGGGAGCCUUCUGAAAGUCAGACUGAUGGAGAAGUUGAAGAAGUUUGAUGGAUAUAUGUGGAGAUUGAGGAGAUCAGUGCAGCACGUUGAUUUUCUGUCGGAAGCAGCGGGCUGGCCCUCAACAGCCUCGCAAAAGGCAGCAGGAUUUCUGCGCAGUGUGGGUAGAGCUGUCGCCCAGGUGUGGAAGCAAAGUGGAAUCAGGCAGAUACUGAGAAGCAAAGUCCCGCUUUACCUGGAUAAAAUUCAAGACGUUGUCCAGCAAAUGCAGAAUGAAUUGCAAAAGCCCCUAGCGACUUUGAAGGAUGCCUACUACGAUGUAACCUUGAAACCACUGGAUGAAGUUUGGCAAGAAAAGACAGAAGAGUGCCUGAGGAAAAUCCAGGCUUUUUUACCCAAGAUCAUAAAAGACGUGUGGCUAAUGGAACCAAUCCAGGUGGCAUUAAAGGCUGUGAAAGCAGGCUUGGAUAUGGCCACACAGCAGAUGCUCAGGUGGGCAGAGGCCAUGUUUUCUCGGGCUGUGAGCAAGAUCCGGAAGCCUUUACUCAACCUUUACAGUUUUUCAGCCAGGAACUGUUCAGUGGCAGUAAAACUGCCGGUACUUCCUAAAGCAGACCGCUCCUUGGAUCUGGCAAAUAUUACUAAUUAUCUCAUUGAAGAAAAGCUAAUGAGGCCCCUCCAAGACCUCUACAAUAUCAACAUAGUUGCAGAGUAUUAUAGAUUCAAACGGAGGAUGAUGGAGAGUCCCUUUGAACAUCAUGCCAUGUUAAUAGGGACCAAGCAUCUUAUGACUUUUGAUGGGAGAAUUUAUGAUUUAGCAUCAAAGUGCAGUGUACUUCUUGCCAAGGAUUUUGUUCACGAUACUUUCACUGUAAUACUAAACGAGGAAACUGGUAACUCAAGAUCAUUGUAUGUGGAGAUGAACCAGACCGUGAUCAGUAUCUAUCCAAGACUGAAGGUAUCUAAGAUGUAUAACUUCUCCUUUAUGGAAGAGAACUGCCAAGUACUGGAUCAGUCCCUUGAAAUGAAUAGCACUAAUUCAAGGAGAGAAACCAACAAAAUAGAAGUGUCUAAUCAGAAAGGAGUCUCUGUAUCUUGUGACUUUCAGUAUGGUCUCUGUACUGUCACUCUGGCUGGAUGGCACCAUGGUAUUUCAGCUGGGCUUUUUGGUACCAAUGAUAACGAAGCUGGAAACGAAUGGAUGCUUCCGAAUCGCUCCUUCACUGACAACGUGCAAGAGUUCACACAGAGCUGGCAGGUAAGCAAGUGCAGCCUCGUACAGAAGAAAGCGAAGCCAUGUCCAAUCACAGCUAAGCAAAACGUCUGUGAAGUGUUUUUUGAAGAAUCACAUUCACUUCUUAGGAACUGCUUCAAAGUUGUGGACCCUGACCCGUUCUACAGCAUGUGCAGGUCUGACUCCUGUGGCUCCCGGGCGCUGGAGGCUGCCUGCAGUUUAGCAGCAGCUUUUGUUCAUUUGUGCAACCGAAAUUUUGUCCCUGUGGAAAUGCCUCCUCAGUGCUUGAGCCAGUUCUGA